rnacentral:pre_miRNA from 1 species
UAUUAAAAAUUUCAUCUAUUUCUACUAUAAAAAGCUAACAUAACUAAUAAAUAACCAGACAGUUACACUUGGUAUGCCACAUGCACCUUAUCUUGACAUACAUGAACUAACUUUUAACUGUAAAAAUGGAUAAUUUUUUUAAUA